rnacentral:rRNA from 1 species
GGGUGAGUAACGCGUGGGAAUCUGCCUAGUAGUGGGGGACAACCUGGGGAAACUCAGGCUAAUACCGCAUACGCCCUACGGGGGAAAGCAGGGGAUCUUCGGACCUUGCGCUAUUAGAUGAGCCUGCGUCGGAUUAGCUUGUUGGUGGGGUAAAGGCCUACCAAGGCGACGAUCCGUAGCUGGUUUGAGAGGACGAUCAGCCACACUGGGACUGAGACACGGCCCAGACUCCUACGGGAGGCAGCAGUGGGGAAUAUUGGACAAUGGGGGCAACCCUGAUCCAGCAAUGCCGCGUGUGUGAAGAAGGCCGGCGGGUUAUAAAGCACUUUCAGAUGGGAAGAAAAGCCUAAGGAUAAUACCCUUGGGUCUUGACGUUACUAUCAGAAGAAGCACCGGCUAACUCUGUGCCAGCAGCCGCGGUAAUACAGAGGGUGCAAGCGUUAAUCGGAAUUACUGGGCGUAAAGCGCGCGUAGGCGGUUUAUUAAGUCAGCUGUGAAAGCCCCGGGCUCAACCUGGGA